AUGGCUCGAAUGAACCGCCCCGCUCCUGUGGAAGUCACAUACAAGAUCAUGCGAUUUCUUAUUACACACAAUCCAACCAAUGCAACCUUAUAGAGGAACUUAAGAAGUAUGGAGUUACCACAAUGGUAAGAGUAUGUGAAUCAACUUACGACACUACUCUUGUGGAGAAAGAAGGCAUUCAUGUUCUUGACUGGCCUUUUGAUGCUGGUACACCACCAUCCAACCAGAUUGUCGAGGACUGGUUAAGUCUUGUGAAGAUUAAGUUUUGUGAAGAACCUGGUUGCUGUAUUGCUCUCCAUCGUGUCGCAGGCCUUGGCAGAGCUCUGGUGCUUGUUGCCCUAGCAUUAAUUGAAGGUGGAAUGAAAUAUGAAGAUGCAGUACAACUCAUAAGACAGAAGCGGCGCGGAGCUUUUAACAGCAAGCAACUUUUGUAUCUGGAGAAGUACCCGGAAAUGCGGCUCCGCUUCAAGGAUUCCAAUGGUCAUAGAAACAACUGUUGUGUUCAAUAAAACUGGGGUGCCUGAUGCCAUUGCCUUAGAAGUGGAACUCCAGAUGGGACCUGAUUUGUCGUACGUAAUUGCCCAAUGUGUCGGCUUACCGAAUAAGUCUACUGAAGCUCCACAGGAAUAUUGAAAAACCAGUCUUACCAGGCCACAAGUUUGACAGAAUUGCAACCUCUAUAUUUGAACUAUGAUCAACAUGUUUGGACACUUAGCAAAAGAUUUUUGCUGGUUAGCAUUUAAAAUGUGCUUAUUAUUUCUACCAAUUGACCUUUCCUAAAAUAAGGUAUUGAGUUAUGUCAUUAAAUGUACUCCUGUGCCAGAAUAUUACUAGUCUAUAAGGAAUUUAGAAGGAUUCGGUGCCAAAAUACCCGGCACAAUACUUGUAUAUUUUUAGCAUCAUACAGAACCAAAAUUGCAGGAACUAAGAACUCUAGAGCAUCCAUGGUGUAUUCCUUCAGUCAUUUCAAACACUGCAGGGCUUCUCUCGCUAUCUGCCUGCCCACUCUGUUUACAUCUCCCACACUUACNCCAGAAUACAUCAGGUUUGCUUAGCCAUCCU